UACGUAGGGACCAAGCGUUGUUCGGAUUUACUGGGCGUAAAGGGCGCGUAGGCGGCUUAACAAGUCACUUGUGAAAUCUCCGGGCUUAACUCGGAACGGCCAAGUGAAACUGUCAAGCUAGAGUGCAGAAGGGGCAAUCGGAAUUCUUGGUGUAGCGGUGAAAUGCGUAGAUAUCAAGAGGAACACCUGAGGUGAAGACGGGUUGCUGGGCUGACACUGACGCUGAGACGCGAAAGCGUGGGGAGCGAACAGG
rnacentral:rRNA from 1 species